AGAGUUUGAUCCUGGCUCAGGAUGAACGCUAGCGAUAGGCUUAACACAUGCAAGUCGAGGGGCAGCAUGAUCUUAGCUUGCUAAGGUCGAUGGCGACCGGCGCACGGGUGCGUAACGCGUAUGCAACUUGCCUUACAGAGGGGGAUAACUCGUUGAAAGACGGACUAAAACCGCAUACACUUGUAUUAUUGCAUGAUAUUACAAGGAAAUAUUUAUAGCUGUAAGAUAGGCAUGCGUCCCAUUAGCUUGUUGGUGAGGUAACGGCUCACCAAGGCGACGAUGGGUAGGGGAACUGAGAGGUUUAUCCCCCACACUGGUACUGAGACACGGACCAGACUCCUACGGGAGGCAGCAGUGAGGAAUAUUGGUCAAUGGGCGAGAGCCUGAACCAGCCAAGUCGCGUGAAGGAAGACAGUCCUAAGGAUUGUAAACUUCUUUUAUACGGGAAUAACGGGCGAUACGAGUAUUGCAUUGAAUGUACCGUAAGAAUAAGCAUCGGCUAACUCCGUGCCAGCAGCCGCGGUAAUACGGAGGAUGCGAGCGUUAUCCGGAUUUAUUGGGUUUAAAGGGUGCGUAGGUUGUUCGGUAAGUCAGCGGUGAAACCUGAGCGCUCAACGUUCAGCCUGCCGUUGAAACUGCCGGGCUUGAGUUCAGUGGCGGCAGGCGGAAUUCGUGGUGUAGCGGUGAAAUGCAUAGAUAUCACGAGGAACUCCGAUUGCGAAGGCAGCUUGCCAUACUGCGACUGACACUGAAGCACGAAGGCGUGGGUAUCAAACAGGAUUAGAUACCCUGGUAGUCCACGCAGUAAACGAUGAUUACUAGGAGUUUGCGAUAUACCGUCAAGCUUCCACAGCGAAAGCGUUAAGUAAUCCACCUGGGGAGUACGCCGGCAACGGUGAAACUCAAAGGAAUUGACGGGGGCCCG
rnacentral:rRNA from 1 species